rnacentral:rRNA from 1 species
GACGAACGCUGGCGGCGUGCUUAACACAUGCAAGUCGAACGGUGAAGCGCCUUCCUUUUUGGUGGGUGUGGAUGAGUGGCGAACGGGUGAGUAACACGUGAGUAACCUGCCCCCUUCUUCUGGAUAACCGCAUGAAAGUGUGGCUAAUACGGGAUAUUCUGGGUCUGUCGCAUGAUGGGUCUGGGAAAGAUCUUGUUUCGGUGGGGGAUGGGCUCGCGUCCUAUCAGCUUGUUGGUGGGGUGAUGGCCUACCAAGGCGGUGACGGGUAGCCGGCCUGAGAGGGUGGACGGCCAUACUGGGACUGCGACACGGACAAGACUACUACGAGAGGCAGCAGUGGGGAAUAUUGCACAAGGGGAGGAAGGCUGAUGCAGCGACGCGGCGUGAGGGAUGGAGGCCUUCGGGUUGUGAACCUCUUUUGCCAGUGAAGCAGGCCUGCCUAGUUUGUGGGUGGGUUGACGGUAGCUGGAUAAGAAGCGCCGGCUAACUACGUG